AUUAAACGCUGGCGGCAUGCCUUACACAUGCAAGUCGAACGGCAGCACGGGGGGAACCCUGGUGGCGAGUGGCGAACGGGUGAGUAAAGCAUCGGAACGUGCCCUGGAGUGGGGGAUAACGUAGCGAAAGUUACGCUAAUACCGCAUAUUCUGUGAGCAGGAAAGCAGGGGAUCGCAAGACCUUGCGCUCUGGGAGCGGCCGAUGUCGGAUUAGCUAGUUGGUGGGGUAAAGGCCUACCAAGGCGACGAUCCGUAGCGGGUCUGAGAGGAUGAUCCGCCACACUGGGACUGAGACACGGCCCAGACUCCUACGGGAGGCAGCAGUGGGAAUUUUGGACAAUGGGCGAAAGCCUGAUCCAGCCAUGCCGCGUGAGUGAAGAAGGCCUCGGUUGUAAGACUCUUCGU
rnacentral:rRNA from 1 species